UACGAAGGUCCCAAGCGUUGUUCGGAAUCACUGGGCGUAAAGGGAGCGUAGGCGGCGUGGUAAGUCAGAUGUGAAAUUCCGGGGCUCAACCUCGGAACUGCAUCCGAUACUGCCAUGCUAGAGUGGUGGAGGGGCAUCUGGAAUUCACGGUGUAGCAGUGAAAUGCGUAGAUAUCGUGAGGAACACUAGUGGCGAAGGCGAGAUGCUGGACACCUACUGACGCUGAGGCUCGAAGGCCAGGGUAGCGAAAGGG
rnacentral:rRNA from 1 species